GAGGUUGUGGCUCAGUGAUAGAGCACUUGUCUAGCAUGUAUGAGGCACUGAGUUCAAUCCUCAGCAUCA
rnacentral:tRNA from 1 species